rnacentral:misc_RNA from 1 species
CCAAUAGCGUAUAUUAAAGUUGUUGCAGUUAAAAAGCUCGUAGUUGAACUUCGGGAUCAAUGGGUCGGUCAUGCCGUCGGUAUGUACUGAUUUUAUUGGUUCUCACCUUCUAAGGAACCGUAAUGUCAUUAGUUUGAUGUUGUGGGGAAUUAGGACUGUUACCGUGAAAAAAUUAGAGUGUUUAAAGCAGGCUAACGCUUGAAUACAUUAGCAUGGAAUAAUGAAAUAGGACAUCAGAUUCUAUUUUGUUGGUUUCUAGGAUCGAUGUAAUGAUUAAUAGGGAUAGUUGGGGGCAUUAGUAUUCAAUUGUCAGAGGUGAAAUUCUUGGAUUUAUUGAAGACUAACUACUGCGAAAGCAUUUGCCAAGGAUGUUUUCAUUAAUCAAGAACGAAAGUUAGGGGAUCGAAGACGAUCAGAUACCGUCGUAGUCUUAACCAUAAACUAUGCCGACUAGGGAUCGGAUGAUGUUAAUUUUUUAAUGACUCAUUCGGCACCUUACG